AUGCGCAAAGGUCCCGAAAGAGAAGAUAAGGUCUCAUUGGAGCUCACCGAGGAAAUUCUUCAGGGCAUGGAAGUUGGCAUGGCUUUCAAAGACUACAGUGGUAGAAUCAGUUCAAUAGACUUUCACAAAACAUCCCCUUAUCUGGUUACUGCAAGUGAUGAUGAGUCCAUUCGCUUGUAUGAUGUAGCAAGUGCAACUUGCUUGAAAACAAUUAACAGCAAAAAGUAUGGAGUUGAUCUUGUUUGCUUUACAUCUCACCCUACAACAGUCAUUUACUCUUCAAAAAAUGGUUGGGAUGAAUCCUUGAGGCUUCUAUCAUUACAUGACAAUAAGUACUUGCGGUAUUUUAAAGGUCAUCAUGACAGGGUUGUAUCUCUUAGCUUGUGUGCUCGCAAGGAAUGCUUUAUCUCAGGCUCUCUUGAUCGAACUGUUUUGCUUUGGGAUCAACGAGCUGAAAAAUGCCAGGGUCUUUUACGUGUGCAAGGAAGGCCUGCUACAGCAUAUGAUGACCAAGGGCUAGUUUUCUCAGUUGCCUUUGGUGGAUACAUACGAAUGUUUGAUGCUCGCAUGUACGAAAAGGGUCCUUUUGACAUUUUUUCUGUUGGAGGAGAUAUUUCUGAUGCUAAUGUUAUAAAGUUCAGUAAUGAUGGGAGACUAAUGCUUUUGACAACAAUGGAUGGACAUAUACAUGUACUUGAUUCUUUUCGCGGUACACUUUUAUCAACAUACAAUGUAAAACCAGUUUCAAAAAAUUCCACAUUAGAAGCUUCUUUCAGCCCUGAAGGAAUGUUUGUUAUAUCUGGUUCUGGUGAUGGUAGUGUUUAUGCUUGGAGUGUCCGAAGUGGGAAAGAAGUUGCAAGUUGGAUGAGUGCUGAAAAUGAGCCUCCUGUCAUCAAAUGGGCUCCUGGAAAUCUUAUGUUUGUGACUGGGUCUUCUGAACUGUCAUUCUGGGUUCCAGAUUUGUCCAAACUUGGAGCUUAUGUUGGAAGGAAGUAGAACUUUUUUAUGAACCUGCUCCAAAUUUCAAGUACUCAGCAGUCAACAAGAAUCAAUUGUUGGUGCAAGUUGAGCCCAUAGCUAAUUAUGUUCACCAAUUUCUACUCAUCAACUCUUGAGACGUUAUCCCCAUAUUCCCCACUUCUUGAGAUCAAACAGGCCCAUCCAUUCCAUCCAAAGGGCCCUAUGGAAACUUGCAUAUCUUGAUGGAGCCUGCCUUGGACAUUGAGGUACAUAUAUAGCAAAAAGAAGUUUUGAAGUUGUACGCAUGUUAAUACUGUCUUUGCACAUAUGGCAAUGAUGUAGUACACUGGUACUUGCGUGACAAACUCUCUGCUACUAACCCUGAUAGAAAUGGAUAGGAGUUGGCAAAAGGGCAAACAAACAAACUAACUUUGGGAGAAACUUUUGAAAAAACUUUACAUGAAAUCGGCUCAACACAUCGUGAUGGAGUGUCAUGCCUUGUGUUUCUGGUAAGUGACAUUACGUACUUGAAGUAAAAGAAAACUAUGAAGAUCUUCUACUAAAUCUCUCUUGUAUAUCCAUCAAAGAUAUUAGGAGCAUUGUUUAUUGUUUCCUUUCUAUGCCCACCUUUCUUUCUUUCACUUUCUUUAGAGCAUAGUUCCCUAAAAGACAUUAGGAUCAUUCCCAAACCAAAAGUUAUGAAAAUUUGUCAAACCAUCCAAAGGAAAGCAUCAACCAAAAUCUUGUUGAUAGGGAGACCAUCUUAAUUAUAAAGCUACGAAGCAAAAUAGGUAGUUAGGUACUAUCAAGUAUCUUUAAUGUAUUUUUUUCUUUGUCACUACAUUGAUACGUAACAAACCUUUUAUCUGCUGUUCUACACCGUCCAAAUGCACGUGUGUACAAAACAUGCUUAGCCAAUCAGACAGUUUCGUCUCUUAUGUGAUAAAUUUGCCGUGUGCUUGAAGCUUUAGUCCACACUCAA